GCGAUUCUCAAGGCAAAUUACAAGUUUAUAAUAGUAAAAGAACCUCCAGUACAUUACUACCGCAAACAAGCUUUUAGUCAAACUGCUGCCACCAGUACUCCCUCCGUCACAGUCUAUAAGACAUGCACGUGUACGUAGAUCGUCAAUUUAACUUACAUAAAAUAUAUUGUUUAACAUAAAUACUAUAUCAUUAAAAAAUAGAACAUCUAAAGUUUCUAAUAAUAUAUUUUUUAUAAUAUAUGCCUUUCAUUAAGUUGGUCAAAUUGACGAUCUAGAUACACGUGUCGGACUUAUAAACUGAAACGUACGAAAAUUUAGCAAAAACCAAGUACAGUACAUGAAUUCAUGUCCAUACUAUUAGCUUAUUACUGCUACUGCUCCAGGCCGACGGCGUCGAAGAAGGCCGACACGCUGUCCCUGCCCUGCUGCUGCUGCUCCGACACGGCGCCGGGGGAGAAGCACCCCUUCGCUGCCUCCAUCAACGCCGCCGCCACCCCUGCCACCAUCGCAGCUCCCUUGGACAUGUCGUCAUCGCCGGCUGGAACAGAUGGGGCGAUUGUGCCGUCGAAGGGAGCCUCGCAGAAGACCAUCGUGGCCACGAACCUCUCGAUGCCGGUGGCUGCCAUCUGACCUGCUUGGUGGUCGGGCUCCUGUUGCGCUAGCUCUGGCAGUCUGGCUUAGUUUGAUGCGAUUGCGACGAGAUCGAGAUUGAUCCAAGCCAAUGCCAAUGCCAAUGCCAAUGCCAAUGCUGCUGGUGUUGCUUCGAUGGAGGGUGCACCUAC
rnacentral:lncRNA from 1 species